UUGAUCAGAUAACUCUUGGUCAGAAGAAGGUGAAUGGUAAGGGGGUGAUUCAUAAUCAGAGGAUGAGGAAGAGCUGUGGUGAUAUAGUUGAUUAGGGUCAGAGGUUGUUGUGAAAGUACGGGCAAUUUUUAGAACAGGUGGAGGUUGAGAGGUUCUGAUGGUAGAUGGUGGUAUUUCAGAGGUAGUGAAUAUGGGAGGUGUUGGGAGAGGAGUAGAAGAAGCCAUUACAGAUACAGAAGUAACAGGAGGAAUGGACUUACCAGAAGAAGAGACUUUCAGAGGAGCUUUGGUGCCAGAGGAUUCUCCAAGUCUGGGUUUCUUUGCCUUCCUU
rnacentral:lncRNA from 1 species